AGAGAAACAGUAAAUAAAAAAUAAAAAAUAAAACCGAAUGAUAACAAGAACCAGAAAAUAAAAUUCAAAAAAGAAAAAAGAAGCUCACCUCGUUUCAGUUUCUCUCCCACAAGUACUUGUAGCUUAGGACCAACAAAAAAAGCCAAAAAAGAUUAGCGUUGAAAAGCCAAUAAUGGUCCUAACCACACAAAGACACACAAAAAACAAUGACAGAAAUAGAAGAAAAC
rnacentral:lncRNA from 1 species